rnacentral:rRNA from 1 species
AGAGUUUGAUCCUGGCUCAGGACGAACGCUGGCGGCGUGCCUAAUACAUGCAAGUAGAACGCUGAAGAGAGGAGCUUGCUCUUCUUGGAUGAGUUGCGAACGGGUGAGUAACGCGUAGGUAACCUGCCUUGUAGCGGGGGAUAACUAUUGGAAACGAUAGCUAAUACCGCAUAACAAUGGAUGACACAUGUCAUUUAUUUGAAAGGGGCAAUUGCUCCACUACAAGAUGGACCUGCGUUGUAUUAGCUAGUAGGUGAGGUAACGGCUCACCUAGGCGACGAUACAUAGCCGACCUGAGAGGGUGAUCGGCCACACUGGGACUGAGACACGGCCCAGACUCCUACGGGAGGCAGCAGUAGGGAAUCUUCGGCAAUGGGGGCAACCCUGACCGAGCAACGCCGCGUGAGUGAAGAAGGUUUUCGGAUCGUAAAGCUCUGUUGUAAGUCAAGAACGAGUGUGAGAGUGGAAAGUUCACACUGUGACGGUAGCUUACCAGAAAGGGACGGCUAACUACGUGCCAGCAGCCGCGGUAAUACGUAGGUCCCGAGCGUUGUCCGGAUUUAUUGGGCGUAAAGCGAGCGCAGGCGGUUUGAUAAGUCUGAAGUUAAAGGCUGUGGCUCAAUCCAUAGUUCGCUUUGGAAACUGUCAAACUUGAGUGCAGAAGGGGAGAGUGGAAUUCCAUGUGUAGCGGUGAAAUGCGUAGAUAUAUGGAGGAACACCGGUGGCGAAAGCGGCUCUCUGGUCUGUAACUGACGCUGAGGCUCGAAAGCGUGGGGAGCGAACAGGAUUAGAUACCCUGGUAGUCCACGCCGUAAACGAUGAGUGCUAGGUGUUGGAUCCUUUCCGGGAUUCAGUGCCGCAGCUAACGCAUUAAGCACUCCGCCUGGGGAGUACGACCGCAAGGUUGAAACUCAAAGGAAUUGACGGGGGCCCGCACAAGCGGUGGAGCAUGUGGUUUAAUUCGAAGCAACGCGAAGAACCUUACCAGGUCUUGACAUCCCGAUGCUAUUUCUAGAGAUAGAAAGUUACUUCGGUACAUCGGUGACAGGUGGUGCAUGGUUGUCGUCAGCUCGUGUCGUGAGAUGUUGGGUUAAGUCCCGCAACGAGCGCAACCCCUAUUGUUAGUUGCCAUCAUUCAGUUGGGCACUCUAGCGAGACUGCCGGUAAUAAACCGGAGGAAGGUGGGGAUGACGUCAAAUCAUCAUGCCCCUUAUGACCUGGGCUACACACGUGCUACAAUGGUUGGUACAACGAGUCGCAAGCCGGUGACGGCAAGCUAAUCUCUUAAAGCCAAUCUCAGUUCGGAUUGUAGGCUGCAACUCGCCUACAUGAAGUCGGAAUCGCUAGUAAUCGCGGAUCAGCACGCCGCGGUGAAUACGUUCCCGGGCCUUGUACACACCGCCCGUCACACCACGAGAGUUUGUAACACCCGAAGUCGGUGAGGUAACCAUUUGGAGCCAGCCGCCUAAGGUGGGAUAGAUGAUUGGGGUGAAGUCGUAACAAGGUAACC